GCUGAGUGACUCAAGAUGGGAAACCACAUAGGAAAGAGAGAACUAACAUCUGAGAAGCCUAAUAAGGAUGCUGAAACAAAUGUGGGACAGACAGAAAUUAAGAGAACCACUACAAGCCAAGAACUUCCUCAGGAAACCCCAGAAGACAAUGAUGUGUUUGGAGAGGCAGAUGUGAACCAGAACAAUGGACCCUCCUCUAAGGGCACAGCGGUGACAGACUCCAAGAGCACAGCGGACCCAAAGAAUGCCUGGACAGAGGCCAACCCAGCUGACACCGUGGGUCGCCCCCACUUGAUCCGCCUCUUUUCCCGAGAUGCUCCAGGAAGGGAGGACAACACCUUCAAAGAUCGGCCCUCAGAGUCAGACGAGCUUCAGACCAUCCAAGAAGACAGUGCACCAGCUUUGGAAGGCUCGGAGUUGAUGGCUUCACAGAAAAGAGGUUCUCAGAGGCACGGAUCAAAAUACCUGGCAACUGCAAGUACCAUGGACCAUGCUAGGCAUGGAUUCAACCCAAGGCACAGAGACACGGGUAUACUUGACUCACUGGGCAGAUUCUUUGGAGGUGACAGGGAUGUGCCCAGGAGGGCCUCAGGCAAGGAUCUACAUCAUGCAACAAGAGCGGGCCACUAUGGCUCCCUGCCACAGAAGGCUCAGCAUGGCCGUCCUCACGAUGACAACCCUGUAGUUCACUUCUUCAAGAACAUUGUGUCACCUCGGACACCACCUCCAGGACAAGGAAAGGGGAGAGGAUUAUCCCUCAGCAGAUUUAGCUGGCAAAAGGAGUGGGACAUGAGGAGCAGAGAUGGGAAAAUUUGGCACUGGAGCCGAAGGGCAGAAGCCAGGGUGUGGAUAUGGAGGAAGGGCUUCAGACUAUAAAUCAGCUCACAAGGGAUACAAGGGUGCACACCCAGAUGGCCAGGGCACUCUUUCCAAAAUCUUUAAACUGGGAGGAAGAGAUAGUCGAUCUGGAUCGCCAAUGGCUAGACGCUGAAGUUCUUCAUUGUCUUUACAGUAUUAUGUACUUGGCUUCUUAAUAUAACUGCCUUAAAUAUUUAAUAUUUGCAUAGAUUGCCUAGAUAGACAAGCAAUUUCUCACCUAAUAUGUCUAUUGAGUUGUGUGUGCAGUAAGUAGAGUCAGACAACAUCCUACUGGCAAUUUCUGGCCAACAGUUGAAUGGAAAAGAAAAAAAUAAGAAACACAGAAUAGUUUUAAAUGCUUUUUUUAUGUUUUAAAAUAAAGUAACAGAUUCCUCAGAGUAUUCAUUCCACUUCAGAAUGCCCCCUUCCACACCCAGAAAUACAUUGGUCUUCAUUUUAUCAAAGCUCAUUCCAUCAAAUCUCUCCAUCUUUGGAUUUUUUUCUCACUGAUCCAGUGCCUCAGACUGGCACCACAGAACCAAAGCUUUUGUUCCUGAGCACUGCCACUGAAGACAUGCCACUGUGGAAAACACAUGUGCAGAGUUGGUAUGGACUGUUGAUCCAAGCUUACUUUGUUUUUCUUUUAAUGCCCCAUUCUCUCACCUCAAAAAUACUUUAUUUUUCAUAACAGGAUUAGGCAGUCAUAGAGUGGGUUUACAAAUGUUGGGAGCUCCAGGUAUGUGAAAUGUGGGACAGGGAAGCUGUUAACAGUUUUAAUGUGAUAGAGAAAAGAGGGGGAAGGAAAUUCUUCCAGAAUUGCAUUUGCUCAUCACACCCAAAAAAUUUGAAUUCGCGCGUGUGGCAGAGAAAGGAAAAGGACGUCAAACUAGGGCUGGGCUAUUGCCUCAAAACAGGAAACAAAAGGAAUUUCCCAGCAAAAUGGACAAUUCUGAGUGUACACGUGGCCACUGGAUGUCACUGCUGCUCCACACAGGCAAUGAUAUCAUAGUAUUUCUUUAGCAGUAAUAAAAACCAAAGGCUAGUUUCCUGUAAUAAAACCAAGAAAUCUAGUUUCCUGCAAUAAAACCAAGAAGUCUAGUUUCCUAAAGGAAGCCCGCUCGCUAGUUAGGAGAUUUUCAGAUAGUUCUGCACAUCUCACAGUAGCAUUGCUAGUUUUCUUGUUGGCCUGGCAGUGUCAAACUGGUAAGCUGCUCUGAAACCAUGAAAUCAGUCCUAAGUUUUUAAUGGCAGUGUGUAAGCCAGUCCCCAGCUUCUGUGAAAACCUGACUACUAUAGUUGCCUUCUAGAAAAAAAGCUAGAAAUAACAAAUUAGACAUAGAUGUGUAACUAUUCAUGAAUAUACUGACUUAUCUACAUGUGGUCUGGAAUGCACCAACCAUAUGUGAAUUUAAAAAUAAAAAGCUCUUCUGAAGUGCGCUGUUUUCUAACUUAAAUAAGCCAAAUAUUUCUUAACACUAACUAAUUGAUUGAUCCAAAUAUUUUGGUUCUAGCAUAUUCUUUAUAGCCAGCAACAGAGCAUCCAUUGUUGGUAUCCAGCUUUAAUGUUAAUGAGUACCAAGAAUAGUUAAUGCGCCAAUGCACCGUUUUUAAUUCCAGUUCACCUUUCUAUGUUUAGUGUACCUAUAAUUAAAUGUCUGUUAACAUGUAGCAAUGCAUGAAGAGAGGGUAAGGAAAAACAGGAACAAAGUUAAGGAGAAAAAAGCCUCCAAAUUGUUCAGCAAAAAAAAAAAAAUUACAUCUUUGAGCUAAAUUGCUGGAUGUAUUUUCUCUCUGUAGAUGUGUUUUUUCUCUGUAGCUUCUCCCCAAAAGUAAACUCUGCAAUAUAGUUGAGUUUAAAAGUCUACACUGUGCUCAAAAAUGGAAAAAUCUUAAGCUUAUAAAAUUAUUGAAAUAAAAAUGUUUAAUGCAAUUUG